CUGGGCUCUCUGUAUACUGUGUACAGCAGUAAAUCAGGCAGGCCGGGGCUCUCUGUAUACCGUGUAUAGCAGUAAAUCAGGCAGGCCGGGGCUCUUUGUAUACCGUGUACAGCAGUAAAUCAGGCAGGCCGGGGCUCUCUGUAUACUGUGUACAGCAGUAAAUCAGGCAGGUCUGGGCUCUCUGUAUACUGUGUACAGCAGUAAAUCAGGCAGGCCGGGGCUCUCUGUAUACUGUGUACAGCAGUAAAUCAGGCAGGCCGGGGCUCUCUGUAUACCGUGUACAGGUAUAAGUCAGGUAGGACGGACGUGUCUGAAUUCUUCGUACAGGUGUAAAUCAGGUAGCCCAGGUGCCUCUGUGUAAGGAGCACAGGAGUAAAUCAGGUAGUGCAAACCCUUGUUAUAGGAUUAAUAAGGCAGCACGGACAGGGGAACAAUAGGUAGGCUUGUUCAUUCUGUUGACAUGAAAAC